AACGUAGGUGGCAAGCGUUAUCCGGAUUUACUGGGCGUAAAGGGUGUGCAGGCGGGGCUGUAAGUGGUGUAUGAAAUCUCCAGGCUUAACCUGGAGGGGUUAUGCCAGACUGCAGUUCUAGAGGACGAGAGAGGGGGGUGGAAUUCCGGGUGUAGUGGUGGAAAUGCGGUAGAGAUCCGGAGGAACCCCAGAGGCGAAGGC
rnacentral:rRNA from 1 species